UACGUAGGGGGCAAGCGUUGUCCGGAAUCAUUGGGCGUAAAGAGCUCGUAGGUGGCGUGUCGCGUCUGCCGUGAAAGCCCAUGGCUUAACUGUGGGUCUGCGGUGGAUACGGGCAGGCUGGAGGCUGGUAGGGGCAAGCGGAAUUCCUGGUGUAGCGGUGAAAUGCGUAGAUAUUGGGAGGAACACCAGUGGCGAAGGCGGCUCACUGGACUGGUACUGACGCUGAGGUGCGAAAGCGUGGGGAGCAAACAGG
rnacentral:rRNA from 1 species